rnacentral:rRNA from 1 species
GGAUUACCUCAGUAACGGCGAGUGAAGCGGUAAUAGCUCAAAUUUGAAAGCUGCCAUCAGGCCGCGUUGUAAUUUGUAGAAGAUGCUUUGGGUGUUGGCCUAGUCUAAGUUCCUUGGAACAGGACGUCAUAGAGGGUGAGAAUCCCGUAUGUGAUUAGUGCUAUCCCCCGUGUAAAGCUCUUUCGACGAGUCGAGUUGUUUGGGAAUGCAGCUCAAAAUGGGUGGUAAAUUUCAUCUAAAGCUAAAUAUUGGCCAGAGACCGAUAGCGCACAAGUAGAGUGAUCGAAAGAUGAAAAGCACUUUGGAAAGAGAGUUAAACAGUACGUGAAAUUGUUGAAAGGGAAGCGCUUGCAAUCAGACUUGCAGGCGGUUGAUCAUCCGAGGUUCUCCCCGGUGCACUCGAUCGUCUUCAGGCCAGCAUCGGUUUCAGUGGUGGGAUAAAGGCCGUGAGAAUGUGGCUCUUCGGAGUGUUAUAGCUUACGGUGCAAUGCUGCCUACUGGGACCGAGGACCGCGCUUCGGCUAGGAUGCUGGCGUAAUGGUUGUAAGCGACCCGUCUUGAAACACGGACCAAGGAGUCUAACAUCUAUGCGAGUGUUUGGGUGUUAAACCCAUACGCGUAAUGAAAGUGAACGGAGGUGAGAACCCUUUAGGGUGCAUCAUCGACCGAUCCUGAUGUCUUCGGAUGGAUUUGAGUAAGAGCAUAGCUGUUGGGACCCGAAAGAUGGUGAACUAUGCGUGAAUAGGGUGAAGCCAGAGGAAACUCUGGUGGAGGCUCGCAGCGGUUCUGACGUGCAAAUCGAUCGUCAAAUUUGCGUAUAGGGUAUGUACAAUAUUCCCUUAUCUUCCACAGACCACAUCAGUUACUAGAUAAGUUAUCCUUUCCUGUAAUUGCCGGGC